CCUACGGGUGGCAGCAGUGGGGAAUAUUGGACAAUGGGCGAAAGCCUGAUCCAGCCAUGCCGCGUGUGUGAAGAAGGCCUUCGGGUUGUAAAGCACUUUCAGUGGGGAAGAAAGCCUUGGGGCUAAUACCCUCGAGGAAGGACAUCACCCACAGAAGAAGCACCGGCUAACUCCGUGCCAGCAGCCGCGGUAAUACGGAGGGUGCGAGCGUUAAUCGGAAUUACUGGGCGUAAAGCGCGCGUAGGCGGUCUGAUAAGCCGGUUGUGAAAGCCCCGGGCUCAACCUGGGAACGGCAUCCGGAACUGUCAGGCUAGAGUGCAGGAGAGGAAGGUAGAAUUCCCGGUGGAGCGGUGAAAUGCGUAGAGAUCGGGAGGAAUACCAGUGGCGAAGGCGGUCUUCUGGACUGACACUGACGCUGAGGUGCGAAAGCGUGGGUAGCAAACAGGAUUAGAUACCCUUGUAGUC
rnacentral:rRNA from 1 species